UUGGAGGGCAAGUCUGGUGCCAGCAGCCGCGGUAAUUCCAGCUCCAAUAGCGUAUAUUAAAGUUGUUGCAGUUAAAAAGCUCGUAGUUGAAUUUCGGGGUUCUACCGUUGGUCGGGCUUUGUCUGUACUGGUGUGUAGAAUUUCUACCUUCUGGGGAACCAUCAUGCUAUUAAUUUAGCGUGGUGGGAAACCAGGACCUUUACCUUGAAAAAAUUAGUGUGUUCAAAGCAGGCUUAUGUCUGAAUACAUUAGCGUGGAAUAAUAGAAUAGGACGGUGGUCCUGUUUUGUUGGUUUCUGAAUCACCGUAAUGAUUAAUAGGGAUAGUUGGGGGCAUUAGUAUUCAAUUGUCAGAGGUGAAAUUCUUGGAUUUAUUGAAGACUAACUUCUGCGAAAGCAUUUGCCAAGGAUGUUUUCAUUAAUCAAGAACGAAAGUUAGGGGAUCGAAGACGAUCAAAUACCGUCGUAGUCUUAACCAUAAACUAUGCCGACUAGGGAUCGGACGAUGUUAAUUUUUCUUGACUCGUUCGGCGCCUUACGGGAAAC
rnacentral:rRNA from 1 species